UUUUCCUGUAGCAGCAAAGUGAAACGUAGCACCCUCAGCAAGAUGCAGGUGGAGAGACAGUAUCUACCAAGCACAUCAGAAAUGAUGAAUUUCUGGGCUCGGAAAGGAAGAAGCAAAGGAGCAGUCUGUUUCCUCUUCUGUUUUCUACUGCUAAUAUGUCUUCAUUCAUCAGAAAAUUCAGGUUGGUCUCCACAGCUCAUCGUGCUAACAACUCUGGCAAGCCUAAACCUUGUUGUUCUUAUCCUACUCUUCUAUUGGAUUGCCUGUAAACCAAAGCAGAAAGGUAAGAUUUUAAAUGAACCGUCCAAUAUCUGUUAUUCCCCCCAUAAUGUGCAAUUAAACGCAAGAAUUCAGUGAUAAAACAUAGUCACCAAGUGCCGUGCCCUCAGGCAUCCAAGUCAUCCAUGGCAGAUGUGACAAAAGACGGACAGGAGACUUGUGUUCUUCUGGAGCAGCAGCUGGAGGCAAAGUGAGAUCCAUACUAGAAAGAGGAUCCCACCAUAGGAGUUGGAAGACUAUG
rnacentral:lncRNA from 1 species